UUUGCCUACGGGGCGCAGCAGUGGGGAAUAUUGCACAAUGGGGGGAACCCUGAUGCAGCGACGCCGCGUGGGUGAAGGAGCACCUCGGUGCGUAAAGCCCUAUCGGCAGGGAAGAAAAGCGAACAGGUUCGCCUGGACGGUACCUGACUAAGAAGCCCCGGCUAACUACGUGCCAGCAGCCGCGGUAAUACGUAGGGGGCAAGCGUUAUCCGGAUUCACUGGGUGUAAAGGGAGAGUAGACGGCGCCGCAAGUCUGGCGUGCAA
rnacentral:rRNA from 1 species